rnacentral:misc_RNA from 1 species
UUUCCGUAGGUGAACCUGCGGAGGGAUCAUUAACGACUUAGGGACUUCUAGGCCCGACCUCUCAACCCUUUGUUUACUGAACCAUUGUUGCCUCGGUGGGUCCGUCUUACGACCGCCGGGGCAUCGCCGCGAGGCGCCACCUGGCCAGCGUCCACCGAUAGCCCAACCUUUAGAACCCUAUGUGAAUCGUGUCUUAUGUCUAAAUUUAUGAUUAAACAAUCAAAACAAAACUUUCAACAACGGAUCUCUUGGUUCUG